CUGAAAUGACGUAAAAAAAAUAAUUUAGGAUUACGAGGGUGCUACCCUGAUGGGAUGUGAGCUGAAUCCUAAGAUCGUGUAUGUAGAGUUCACCGCCGUUGUCCGCCGUCAGAAGGAGAUCUUGAAGAAGUUGGUGGAGAGAAAACAGGCGGAGAUAAGGAAGGUUCAUUCGGGACUAACCUGCUUCAGGGACGGAGUAACUGAGAUUCCAGUAGAGAGUAUCCCAGGGAUCCUUGAGACAGGAUACACUCCACCUCAGGCUAAAAAUACAAGGUCGAGUGAAGACAAGAUGGACCAGGAGACCCUGUACAACACCCUCAAGGUGAUUCUCCAUGCUUGCAAGACCUUCCAGUAUGCCUGGCCGUUCCUUAACCCUGUUGAUAGAAAGGCUGUUCCUGACUACUACGACCACAUCAAGUUCCCGAUGGAUAUGAAGUCGAUGGGUGAACGGUUGAAGGCCAACUACUAUGUGAACAGAAGGCUCUUCAUCGCAGAUAUGAAGAGAAUGAUCACCAACUGUAAGGCAUACAAUUCCCCUGAAACAGAAUACUUCAACUGUGCUACACACCUGGAGAAGUUUUUCUUCACAAAACUACGAGAUCAUGCGCUGCUAUAGAUAAACACCUGUUAAUGUACGAUGUAUAAUGUACAGAGAUUUUUCUUCAAAACUUCGAGAUCAUGCACUGUUUAGGCCACCACUAGUAGUGUACGAUAAACAUAGUUUUCUAAACAAAGCUACGAGAACAUUCUUUGCUUUAGUUUAACACCAGCACAUUUUACAAUUUUUACAGUGUAAAUUGUAAAUUAAUGUAAAAAACGUUAUGUGCAUUGCAAGUUAGAACCCUGGUGCAAAGUAUAUCCUCUGAUGUUAAUACCUUAUGAGAAGUAAAUGUACAAUGUACAGUUAUUUGUAGCUUCUCUGUAAUUAUUUUACUAUUUGUAAAACUUUGUUCAACGCUUUUGUACAUCAUUCAUGUUCUUUUAUUUCUUCCUAGUUCACGAAAUUACUUUAUUUUUUUUGGGGAAUAGUUAAUGUUUAAUUCACUUUAAGUAGAUAAUUUUCACGCGUUUGAUUUUAAUUAAAGAAGAUUAGACAUGUUCUACAUGUUUAAUUUUUGUCAACAUAUGUACUUGGACGUCUUAUUCAGUAGACAUUUCAUACAAGUUUAAUCUUAAUUUAUCUUAAAGGGACUGUAAGCGUAAUUUCAAAUGACCCUCCACGAAAAAUUGACAAUCUUAUUUACAGUUCUACCGGCCUUAAAAGCUUUGUCUGAUCAAGCAUGAAAUAGACAAAACUCAUGAUUUUUAAUUUUAAUUUCUCUGCAAAAGUGGCUUGCGCAUUUUUACUGCACUGCAGGAGAACGUACAUUGAAUUUUAU
rnacentral:misc_RNA from 1 species